rnacentral:rRNA from 1 species
ACAGCAGUCGCCACGGUAAUACGAGGGGGGCAAGCGUUGUUCGGAAUUAUUGGGCGUAAAGGGUGUGUAGGCGGUUUGGUAAGUUGUAUGUGAAAUCUUCGGGCUCAACCCGAAGUCUGCAUACAAAACUGCCGGGCUUGAGUAUGGGAGAGGUGAGUGAAAUUCCUGGUGUAGCGGUGAAAUGCGUAGAUAUCAGGAGGAACACCUGUGGCGAAAGCGGCUCACUGGACCAUUACUGACGCUGAAAUACGAAAGCUAGGGGAGCAAACAGGAUUAGAUACCCCCGUAGUCCCUGUCUCUUAUAC